CGAAAAUCAAAAGAAAAAAAAAAAAGAAAGGAAAAGGUCGAACAAGGUACACUUUAGGUACACUUUCUAGAAAGAUACUUUUCAUACCGCCCUCGCUAGCAUAGCUCGAAGAAAUUGGUGGAAUGCAGGAGAUCCAGAAGAUCAUCCGAUUGCACAGUUAUGUUAAAGCUUAAAGCUCAGCUUAGGCAUGCAAUAGGUACAGGCGAAUAGACUUUAUUCAUGUGAAAUCAUUCCCCUGCAUAGUUUCACUUACGGCACACGUAUAUAUAGAUUUUCGUGAUUUUCGCAAUCGCAGAGUGAAUGGUGAAGACACGUGGAGUUACAUAACUUCCAAUUUUUCACUAUUAUCUAAUCAUCCGCUGUUUAUAUGGAUUAAUAAAUCCGAAGAGUGGCGUUAGCUGAACUACCCGAGGGAAAAGUGAAAAUAAAGUGAAAUUCUUGAAAGAAGCAAAGGGAUAGGAGUACUGGAAAAUCUUAAUACAGCCAAGCCGGCCAACCAAUCUACGGUAACAACUACUAAAACAACCAAGCUGACCGUUUGGGAGUUAGCGCAGUGCACAUCCACGGCGGCAAAGUGAAGGCUGAACCGUUGACGUUGGGCUAGCUCAAUAUCGGAAAUCAUUUACGGCUCGUGAAAGACCAACCACCAUACACCACUGCUGGACGUCCGAAUAUCAGUUUGAACCUGCCGAUCUCGUAAAAAAAAAGCCGGAGGACAUAAUCGUCACCAACCUACGAAAACUUACAAAGGAUUGAGUAAUUAGGCUAGCCUAAACCACAUUGCCUCAGAACCACUCUUGCUGUCAGCAGAUUUGUGUUUAUUUUGAUUCCCGUGUUUCUCAAAUUAAAUUUCAAGUGCAAGUUCCCGUUUGCCUUUAUCACUAUCACAUAAAAAUCUAUACGCUGCUGCUCUAAGAACCAGCUGAUUAGAUCCACAUAUUCAUAUCUCGUUUAUCAUUGUGUUGAUUAAUGUAGUAACUAAAUAGCUUCCUCCAAUGAGUAAAUUUGUAACGUAACUGACGAUUUUGAAAACUGAGCAAUAUGAGUUCGGGAUAAUGUGUUUCUCUUUAUAUAUAUACAUACAUUUAUACUGACCAACCUCUAAAUUACACAGUGCAUACAAAUGAAUCCGUCAAAGUCAUCUUGGGCCCAACGAUACACCGAUGAGUUUAACCAAUUACUGUGAGUACCACUAGUGGCUGAAACCACAAUGUCUAUACACCAAUGCAGGCGUAAGUUUGUUGAAGUAGAUAUAUAUAUACUGAUUUGAAAGAAUAUUACCCCCCUCAAAUGCUCAAAUAAUUAAGUUUUUUUUUGCUGAUCCAAGAAGAAGGAAGUCUGUAUAUUUUUGUUUAUUUGUAAAUGUAAGGAAUCGGAUUAUAUCUGUAAUUAAUGUAAAAAAAAAAAAAAAAAAAAA